AACGAACGCUGGCGGCAUGCCUAACACAUGCAAGUCGAACGAGACCUUCGGGUCUAGUGGCGCUCGGGUGCGUAACGCGUGGGAACCUGCCCUUAGGUUCGGAAUAACUCACCGAAAGGGGUGCUAAUACCGGAUAAUGUCUUCGGACCAAAGAUUUAUGGCCUUUGGAUGGGCCCGCGUUGGAUUCGCUAGUUGGUAGGGUAAAAGCCUACCAAGGCGACGAUCCAUAGCUGGUCUGGGAGGAUGAUCAGCCACACUGGGACUGGGACACGGCCCAGACUCCGACGGGAGGCAGCAGUAGGGAAUAUUGGGCAAUGGGCGAAAGUCUUGUCCAGCAGUGCCGCGUGAGUGAUGAAGGCCUUAGGGUUGUAAAGCUCUUUUACCCGAGAUGAUAAUGACAGUACCGGGAGAAUAAGCGCCGGCUAACUCCGUG
rnacentral:rRNA from 1 species